GCUGGAAACACAAACAAAUUAUUCUCUGAUGUUUACUAUGAGAACCUAGGAAAGUUCUCGGAGCUAAAACUCACAGUUAUGGAAUCCCCCUAUGACUGAGUCCCCUACAGAUGUUAACUCUUAGACUUGUCCACACUGAGCCUCUGGCAAUUCAGCAGUUACAGUUCAGGUUUUCCUACCCCAACACUGGUUCCUGCAGAGAUUUCUGCUCACGAGUCUCUGCUCUAACUUGGUGUGUUUCCUCUUGCUCUGAAUAAUGCCAGGCUGCACCGUGAUGUCAAAGACCCAGACCUAGAAGCUAAAACUGUGGCUUCUCAUGCCGGCCCUGCCA
rnacentral:lncRNA from 1 species